GGGCUAACAUCUACAUAUGCCUCCACGGAGAUGUAAAUUAGAGUUACAGAGAAAGUUUUCAUUCUGGAAAUGAUUAUCACACGUGAUAAGCUUUAGAGAAGAAAUACUACAUAAAGAGAUGAUGUGGCAUAUACAAAGUAAAAAUUGGGCUCGA